rnacentral:rRNA from 1 species
CCUACGGGAGGCAGCAGUGAGGAAUAUUGGUCAAUGGGCGCAAGCCUGAACCAGCCAAGUAGCGUGAAGGAUGACUGCCCUACGGAUUGCAAACUUCUUUUGUCAAGGGAUAAAGUGAGGCACGUGUGCCUGUUUGUGGGUACUUUAUGAAUAAGCAUCGGCUAACUCCGUGCCAGCAGCCGCGGUAAUACGGAGGAUCCGAGCGUUAUCCGGAUUUAUUGGGUUUAAAGGGUGCGUAGAUGGGUUGUUAAGUCAGUGGUGAAAGUUUGCGGCUCAACCGUAAAAUUGCAAUUGAUACUGGCAGUCUUGAGUACAGUUGAGGUAGGCGGAAUGCGUGGUGUAGCGGUGAAAUGCUUAGAUAUCACGAAGAACUCCGAUUGCGAAGGCAGCUUACCAAACGGCCACUGACAUUGAUGCUCGAAAGUGUGGGUAUCAAACAGGAUUAGAUACCCGAGUAGUC